GUCUGCGUAGCUCAGUUGGAUAGAGCAAUCGCCUCCUAAGCGAUAGGUCGCAGGUUCAACUCCUGCCGCGGACGCCA
rnacentral:tRNA from 1 species